AUGGAUCUCGUUACAAAUUUCCUUCCCCCUUCCAAGGUCUCAGGUGGAGGCGCGCUACGUUUGUUGCCCCAUCAUUUCCUGCAUUUCAGACCACCGAAAAGUGAGGAGGUCUGGAUUUUUGCUCAGUUGAGGACGCACUUCAGAAAUACAGCUCCGAGCCAAGAGAAGAACACUUUUAACGCAUUGAGUCACAACAGUGUAAUAUAUGCUACUUUGUACGUCCUUGCUGUAUGAUUGCAAUGACCGAAGACCGCAGAUGAACUGAAGAAACAUUGUGAAGUCCAGAGAGCCAAGGUAGUGGAACAGAUCACAGCGUUUAUCGUGGUGGUUCAUCGCAAUGUGAACGUUGUCUGAAGCAAGGGGCGGGGGGGCUGUAGAAAACUAUCAUAGAAAUAUUAGGAUUGGUCUGAGGGGAGAAUGAAUGGGAAGGUGUGGAAGCACCGGAAAGGAGUGGUGGAACCUCGAUUAACAAGUCAUGAAGAUCUCAGAACACAUCUACAGCAGCGUGUCAAGAUACUCAGCUGGGGAGAUAAAAGGCAGCGAGUAAAUCUUGGCGAGCCCCAAAGGUGGGAUAAUGUGGACAGACUGAGCACUGUCAGCUCCUCAAAUGUAUGAA
rnacentral:lncRNA from 1 species